rnacentral:rRNA from 1 species
AUCGAACGCUGGCGGCAGGCCUAACACAUGCAAGUCGAGCGGAUGAAGGGAGCUUGCUCCUGGAUUCAGCGGCGGACGGGUGAGUAAUGCCUAGGAAUCUGCCUGGUAGUGGGGGAUAACGUCCGGAAGCGGGCGCUAAUACCGCAUACGUCCUGAGGGAGAAAGUGGGGGAUCUUCGGACCUCACGCUAUCAGAUGAGCCUAGGUCGGAUUAGCUAGUUGGUGGGGUAGAGGCCUACCAAGGCGACGAUCCGUAACUGGUCUGAGAGGAUGAUCAGUCACACUGGAACUGAGACACGGUCCAGACUCCUACGGGAGGCAGCAGUGGGGAAUAUUGGACAAUGGGCGAAAGCCUGAUCCAGCCAUGCCGCGUGUGUGAAGAAGGUCUUCGGAUUGUAAAGCACUUUAAGUUGGGAGGAAGGGCAGUAAGUUAAUACCUUGCUGUUUUGACGUUACCAACAGAAUAAGCACCGGCUAACUUCGUG